rnacentral:tRNA from 1 species
ACCUAGCUGGCUCAGUUGGAAGAGCAUGAGACUCUUGAUCUUGGGGUCGUGACUUUGAGCCCCAUGUUGGGUG